GUUAGAAUGGUAGAGUUGAGCCCACUGUUCAUCUGAAUUAGCAAUACCAAGCAGCUGUUUUGGUUAAUCAUAAUGAGAGUUUCUGACGUCUGGAUGAGCAUCAGGGCCUGGAGAUGGCUUGAGCUGAUUCUUGGGGUUCGGAUGGGGCUGAUGGCCUGUUGCGCUAAUUGACAGUGCAGUGAAGCUCUGGUCCAGUGGAGUAGAACACCUGCAGACCCACAGGUGAAGAGAGAGGGACCAAGGGAUGAAGGCCCUGGAAGAGUAAAAACAGAGUAAAGUUUUACAGAGUAAAACAGUACAAGAAAGAAUCACAUACUGUAAUUGAUCCACCAUGGAACUCAGCAGAGGAAAUUAUCACAAGAUCCAUCACAUUGUGAGCAAAGACAUGAGAGACAUAUGAAAGAUUCUGGGUAUAAAAGCACCCAGGAGAAGGCUGGCACUCAACUCGUCACUUCCUCUUUCCCUUUCCUGCAUCCUUUUCCUGU